rnacentral:rRNA from 1 species
UCGAGGAUCUUCGGCAAUGGGCGCAAGCCUGACCGAGCGACGCCGCGUGUGCGAUGAAGGCCUUCGGGUUGUAAAGCACUGUCGAGGGGGAGGAAGCCGCAAGGUUGACCUAUCCCUGGAGGAAGCACGGGCUAAGUUCGUGCCAGCAGCCGCGGUAAGACGAACCGUGCGAACGUUGUUCGGAAUCACUGGGCUUAAAGGGCGCGUAGGCGGGUUGCCAAGUCCGGGGUGAAAGCCUCCAGCUUAACUGGAGAAGUGCCUUGGAUACUGGUGAUCUCGAGGGAGGUAGGGGCAUGCGGAACUUCCGGUGGAGCGGUGAAAUGCGUAGAUAUCGGAAGGAACGCCGGUGGCGAAAGCGGCGUGCUGGACCUCUUCUGACGCUGAGGCGCGAAAGCUAGGGGAGCAAACGGGAUUAGAUACCCCCGUAGUCC